rnacentral:rRNA from 1 species
GCAGUUAAAAAGCUCGUAGUUGAAUUUCUAUAUGCGUAUUUUUUGGCUUCUGUCGAAGAUAUGUAUAUAUCCGACAUUGAACUAUAUCGGUUAUUCAUUUAAUCUUAUAGCGAACUGUCAUUUUACUUUGAAAAAAUUAGAGUGUUUCAGGCAGGCAAUUGCCCGAAUAUCUUAGCAUGGAAUAAUGGAAUAGGACUUUGGUUCAUUUGAUUGGUUAUUGAAUCAGAGUAAUGAUUAAUAGGGACAGUUGGGGGCAUUAGUAUUUAAUUGUCAGAGGUGAAAUUCUUGGAUUUAUUAAAGACUAACUUAUGCGAAAGCAUUUGCCAAGGAUGUUUUCAUUAAUCAAGAACGAAAGUUAGGGGAUCAAAGACGAUCAGAUACCGUCCUAGUCUUAACUAUAAACUAUACCGACUCAGGAUUGGCGAUGUAUAAACUUCGUCAGCACUGUAUGAGAAAUUAAAGUCUUUGGGUUCUGGGGGGAGUAUGGUCGCAAGGCUGAAACUUAA